AUUCCGUGAUAGCUCAGUUGGUUAGUGCACGGCACUGAUAAUGCCAAGGUUGCAGGUUUGAUCCCUGUAUGGGACA